AGAUAUAUCCUGCCCUAACAGAACAGGCAUGGGUGGAGGAUCCAGAUAACGAGGUAGUGAUCGUAGGGAGAAGGAGGGCUCCCCCUCCUUAUGAGGGACCUGGGGAAGACCGCGAAGAAGAGGGGUUCAGAAGGGACAUGGAAGGAUUGACCGGAGGUUUUAAACUAAAUACCGGGGAGCUGGAAAGAUCAGUUAGACAGAUAGUGGGAAAAGAUUGGACAGCCGUGAGGGGAGACUGGACCACAGGACAGGGGGACAGAGUGGUUCUGCAGUGGGCUGCAGAUGGGGAUUAUCAAGAGUCGUGGCUGAACGACGACGUUAUGAACAUACAACUGGCGGGUUAUAGACUAUCGGCAGG